GAUGAACGCUGGCGGCGUGCCUAAUACAUGCAAGUCGAGCGAACGGACGAGAAGCUUGCUUUUCUGAUGUUAGCGGCGGACGGGUGGGUAACACGUGGAUAACCUACCUAUAAGACUGGGAUAACUUCGGGAAACCGGAGCUAAUACCGGAUAAUAUUUUGAACCGCAUGGUUCAUAAGUGAAAGACGGUCUUGCUGUCACUUAUAGAUGGAUCCGCGCUGCAUUAGCUAGUUGGUAAGGUAACGGCUUACCAAGGCAACGAUGCAUAGCCGACCUGAGAGGGUGAUCGGCCACACUGGAACUGAGACACGGUCCAGACUCCUACGGGAGGCAGCAGUAGGGAAUCUUCCGCAAUGGGCGAAAGCCUGACGGAGCAACGCCGCGUGAGUGAUGAAGGUCUUCGGAUCGUAAAACUCUGUUAUUAGGGAAGAACAUAUGUGUAAGUAGCUGUGCACAUCUUGACGGUACCUAAUCAGAAAGCCACGGCUAACUACGUG
rnacentral:rRNA from 1 species